GAUGAACGCUGGCGGCGUGCCUAAUACAUGCAAGUCGAACGAACAGAUAAGGAGCUUGCUCCUUUUACGUUAGCGGCGGACGGGUGAGUAACACGUGGAUAACCUACCUAUAAGACUGGGAUAACUUCGGGAAACCGGAUCUAAUACCGGAUAACAUAUUGAACCGCAUGGUUCAAUAGUGAAAGGCGGCUUUGCUGUCACUUAUAGAUGGAUCCGCGCCGUAUUAGCUAGUUGGUAAGGUAACGGCUUACCAAGGCAACGAUGCGUAGCCGACCUGAGAGGGUGAUCGGCCACACUGGAACUGAGACACGGUCCAGACUCCUACGGGAGGCAGCAGUAGGGAAUAUUCCGCAAUGGGCGAAAGCCUGACGGAGCAACGCCGCGUGAGUGAUGAAGGUCUUCGGAUCGUAAAACUCUGUUAUCAGGGAAGAACAAAUGUGUAAGUAACUGUGCACAUCUUGACGGUACCUGAUCAGAAAGCAACGGCUAACUACGUG
rnacentral:rRNA from 1 species